CCUAAGGUAGCGAAAUUCCUUGUCGGGUAAGUUCCGACCUGCACGAAUGGCGUAAUGAUGGCCAGGCUGUCUCCACCCGAGACUCAGUGAAAUUGAACUCGCUGUGAAGAUGCAGUGUACCCGCGGCAAGACGGAAAGACCCCGUGAACCUUUACUAUAGCUUGACACUGAACAUUGAGCCUUGAUGUGUAGGAUAGGUGGGAGGCUUUGAAGUGUGGACGCCAGUCUGCAUGGAGCCGACCUUGAAAUACCACCCUUUAAUGUUUGAUGUUCUAACGUUGGCCCGUAAUCCGGGUUGCGGACAGUGUCUGGUGGGUAGUUUGACUGGGGCGGUCUCCUCCUAAAGAGUAACGGAGGAGCACGAAGGUUGGCUAAUCCUGGUCGGACAUCAGGAGGUUAGUGCAAUGGCAUAAGCCAGCUUGACUGCGAGCGUGACGGCGCGAGCAGGUGCGAAAGCAGGUCAUAGUGAUCCGGUGGUUCUGAAUGGAAGGGCCAUCGCUCAACGGAUAAAAGGUACUCCGGGGAUAACAGGCUGAUACCGCCCAAGAGUUCAUAUCGACGGCGGUGUUUGGCACCUCGAUGUCGGCUCAUCACAUCCUGGGGCUGAAGUAGGUCCCAAGGGUAUGGCUGUUCGCCAUUUAAAGUGGUACGCGAGCUGGGUUUAGAACGUCGUGAGACAGUUCGGUCCCUAUCUGCCGUGGGCGCUGGAGAACUGAGGGGGGCUGCUCCUAGUACGAGAGGACCGGAGUGGACGCAUCACUGGUGUUCGGGUUGUCAUGCCAAUGGCACUGCCCGGUAGCUAAAUGCGGAAGAGAUAAGUGCUGAAAGCAUCUAAGCACGAAACUUGCCCCGAGAUGAGUUCUCCCUGACUCCUUGAGAGUCCUGAAGGAACGUUGAAGACGACGACGUUGAUAGGCCGGGUGUGUAAGCGCAGCGAUGCGUUGAGCUAAGCGGUACUAAUGAACCGUGAGGCUUAACCUU
rnacentral:rRNA from 1 species